rnacentral:rRNA from 1 species
GUUGAACGCUGGCGGCAUGCCUUACACAUGCAAGUCGAACAGUAACAGGUCUUCGGAUGCUGACGAGUGGCGAACGGGUGAGUAAUACAUCGGAACGUGCCCGAUCGUGGGGGAUAACGGAGCGAAAGCUUUGCUAAUACCGCAUACGAUCUACGGAUGAAAGCAGGGGACCGCAAGGCCUUGCGCGGACGGAGCGGCCGAUGGCAGAUUAGGUAGUUGGUGGGAUAAAAGCUUACCAAGCCGACGAUCUGUAGCUGGUCUGAGAGGACGACCAGCCACACUGGGACUGAGACACGGCCCAGACUCCUACGGGAGGAAGCAGUGGGGAAUUUUGGACAAUGGGCGAAAGCCUGAUCCAGCCAUGCCGCGUGCAGGAUGAAGGCCUUCGGGUUGUAAACUGCUUUUGUACGGAACGAAAAGACUCUUUCUAAUAAAGAGGGUCCAUGACGGUACCGUAAGAAUAAGCACCGGCUAACUACGUGCCAGCAGCCGCCGUAAGAC